AUGCUACUCCCUCCGUCCCAUAUUAAGUGACUUUCUAUUACAUGUAUCUGGACGCUUUUUAAACAUAGAUACAUCCAUAUUUGGGAAAAUUUGAGUCACUUAAUAUGAGACGGAGGGAGUAUAAU
rfam:Brachypodium distachyon strain Bd21 chromosome 2, whole genome shotgun sequence.